UGAAUGUGCCUAUAAAUUCUUUUUAAACUUGGAGAGAUGUUGAAGGGAGAACAUGUUUGAUAUUCUUUGGCUUCUGGUUUCAUUGGAAGAAACGACAUGGCCCUUCGGAACUAAGCUGUGGGCCAUUUCUCCAGCCACCUCAGACCAGGACCAACCUCACCACUGAGUGUGAUGAAUGAAUUAGGUCACUUCAUGGUGACGUUUCAGGCACAUUCCAAUGCAUGGCAGACAAACAGGAAGUGGAGAGGAAUUCCAACCUGAAUGGAACAUGCUGCAGCCCCUCGUGGGAAUGCCAGGAAAGGCCAUUGUUUGCUUUGCUGGCCAGCCCUGGUGGAAUCACUGCAAUACCGUUAGGAACGGGAUGAGUACCUUCAUGCAGCAUUCCUACAGGUACCACGGCGCUCCCUGAGGUCGGUCCCCACACCCAGCAGCACUUGCAAACCAGGUUCAGCUAUGGGAAGACAAAGCACCUUUUCUCCCUCUUGGUUUGUCUGCUAAAUAUACAACACAGGGUCCCCUGCCUCUUAUCUUUCAGUGCCAGGCAUACCGAGAGGGGACUGCAGUAAUUAGGUGGCUGUAUCGGACUCGAUUCCCUUUGUUGUCUUAUCAGCUCCGGCACCGAUUGCGCGUAGUGACACUCACCCCAAAUGAUUAUUUAAACCACGGUGCGGCAGAUGAGAGGAAGAUUUAAGAGUCACUUCAUGGCAAGAAUGAUUCUUUUUUUUUCCGCUUUGUUUAUAGAAAUAAAAAAAGUCGCCUAAAUCACUGAGUAGAAGCUUGUUUUUGUGAUCCUUAUCAGACGGUGAGGAGACAACCUUGUUUGUCAGAUGAAGGAGAUGCUUAUUGCUCAGGAUGUUCUU